rnacentral:lncRNA from 13 species
ACAAAUCAACCAAAAAAAUCCCUGGGAACGCUGUCAAUUUCUUCUUUCAAAAAUCUCUUUUAACUGUUUGGAUGUUUGGAGAAAAGAUUGGGUCUGAUACAAACUGCUUUCCCAUAUCCAG